GACGAACGCUGGCGGCGUGCCUAACACAUGCAAGUCGAACGGAAGUAAGACUCCGGUUUUACUUUAGUGGCGAACGGGUGAGUAACGCGUGAGAAACCUGCCUUUCAGUGGGGGACAACAGUUGGAAACGACUGCUAAUACCGCAUAAUGUACACGGACCGCAUGAUCUGUGUACCAAAGCUUUAUGUGCUGAAAGAUGGUCUCGCGUCUGAUUAGCUAGUUGGUGAGGUAACGGCUCACCAAGGCGACGAUCAGUAGCCGGUCUGAGAGGAUGAACGGCCACAUUGGGACUGAGAUACGGCCCAG
rnacentral:rRNA from 1 species